AUGGGCAUUCGUGAUAUGGCUGCUGCUCAUAAUCAUGCAACGCCUUGCGUCAGGAGUAAACUUAUUUUCCAGGGUCUUCACAUCUCAACUGAAGCAUUUCUUCACUUCUGUUCUUUUCCUACUUUCUCUUUCUUGGCUUCGGCCUUCGAUUUGUGGUGUAACCUGGAUAAGGUAUGCUUCAUGCUCCUUAGAACAAUUCUCAGACCUCGGUCUGGUUAUGGAAUAUGUAAGGUACAUAGUGGCCUCUACCUUUUUAUCGCAAAUGUGCUGGCACUUUUGACACAUCUACUAUCCCAACAUACAACUUUGGAUAUGUUGUCAGCUACUUGA
rnacentral:rRNA from 1 species